CACACACUCAUGAACAUUCCAGCCCAGGAGGACACUACAGAUUGGAUUCAAAGGGAUGCACUUGAGCGAGCAUUCGAUUCCGCGCCCGUGCCGAGUUAAACGCAGGGCCCCCGAUGCGGGGCCGUGUUUAACACCCACUGACGUGCCCAGCUGACAUGCGGAGUUGUGACAGGCCAACAAAAGCACUCGGCCUCCUCCGUGGCCCAGUCUGGAUGAACUCUCGCCAACCUCAGGGUGAGAGAGCCGCAAUUUGUCUUUUUCCCCAUGCAUGCUCGUAAUGGGAGGUUGUCAGUCUGUGGAGGACGUAGAUUUAUAUUGAUGUCUGCAGGGAAGAGAGCCCAGAGGAGAGACAAAGUGCUUCCCUCAGUGCAAAUUUCUUUAACUGACAUUGACAGAUGUACAUUGUUUGGAUGAUUGACAGCUAAGUAUUAAAACAUGUUUGGAACAAGAUGGCUUCUGUAAAUGGUAAAAAUUAAUCAACUAAUGGAGGUUUGAAAAGGAGAGACUGGAGGGUUUUUUUCAAUUGACAUUCUCUGUUAAUCUGCCUCCUAAUGGAAGAUGGUCAUUGGUAUUCUGCACAACAGGCGGCGGCCAUCGUGAACAUGUCUGUACUGCAUUUGAUUUGGGGCAACUUGAGCACAGUGUUGCAAUCAAAAUGUCUCGCUAGACAUCCAGUCGUAUAAAGCGGACGGGGGUUUCAGGGUGGGGGUGGGAGUUGAAAGAUUACAUGCUCCCUGGCUGCCCAGUGAUUUCAGGCAUAUUGAGCAAACAGCCCCUUGACAAACACCACUGCCCUUCUUUUUGCUACAGUCAUUCCAAGAAGUAGGGCUGAAGCUUGCCAAUAAUGUCUCUCCCUGAGCAAGGUCUUGCAGUAAGACCUCAACAAAGACACAUGAAAAAGAUAAUUUACUGCUACUGUGAAUUGCAUACAGUGAAAUGAAUUGGUAGCCUACAUUAUCAGAUUGAUGUUACUACAUAAAAACAUGCUGUGGCAGAUGUCAUGUUACCAUUACUGUCAAUAUACAGUACAUGUGUAUUUAUGUGAAGAAAAUUGAAAACCUAAAUAACUAAUAGAUCCUUUUCAGGAUAUCAAGAUAUUAAGUCAUUAUUUCUAGAUAGUAUCUUGUUAUUUCAAGAUAUUAAAUCAUUAUUUCACGGUGGUGUCUCGUUUUUACAAUAUGUUGUCAUAAUUCCAAGAUAAUAUCUCAUUGUUUAAACAUAUUGUCAUGUCAUUAUUUCAAGAUAGUAUCUCAUUAUUUCAAAAUAAUAAGUUCUUAUUUCAAGAUAAUAUUUACUAAGUCAGAGUUUCAAAGAUGGUGCUAGACUUGUUUGCAAAUUGUAACUUCAAUUACUUAUUAGUUAUUAUUUUUAAUCCAGUUUCACUGACAGUGUUAAACCUAUUAGGAUUUUUACAGUGGGAACCCAUCUUGUAAAUAAUGCUAACUACAUUUAGUGUGUAAUGUCCACUUUAACAUUUUAUUGACUACUUGCAUGACACUAGAAAUCACUAAUUUAGACCAGGUCAUUGCAAUGAUACCUCAAAUAAAAAUAAAAAACAUUAAAUAGGCUUCUUCAUCCAGAGGAUAUCAUGAAAGGCUAUUUAUUGAUCAAGGUCACUUCAAGGGUUUAAUAUUUAUUUUUUAAGGCAUUCAUUUUUUCUCACAAUGUUAAAAUAUGUGCUUUACUUUAAUCUUUUACUUUGAGAGAUAUGGGCCCAUUUAACCUGAUAAGCUACUGCAUCUUACAACGUCUUACCGAGUAGUAAGAUAAUAAUAUCUUGAAAUAACAAGAUACUAUCUUGAAAUAAUGACUUUUGAAAUACUAUUAAACUUAAACUUAAAAUCUUGAAAACAAGAUAAUAUAUCGACUUACUUGAGAUACUAUCUAGAAAUAACAACUUACUAUCUUGAAAUCACCAAAUAAAAUGUACGUCUAUUUCAUUGUCAUUUUAUCCUCAUAGCAUUGUUAUCGAAAAAAAUCUACCUGUCCUGGAUAUAUGUACAGCCGGAAUUGUGGUAAGUAAACUAACAUAACCCUUUUUAUAUGUCAAGCAAACAAAAUCACAUUUCACUUAUGUCCCUCUCUUACGCUACAUGCUCAGUUGGCUUCAGAGGCAUGCAAGUUAUUUCAUCUGGGUCAACCCAAUCAAACCAAACACACCACUGUUUGAUCUUUGGUGCUCAUUAAAAGCAAAGAGCUGGAUCAUCAGAGAACUCCACUUGCCAGCACACAACUGUGGUUUUGCCAAACCGUGUGCUGCAGGCAUCUGAGUACCUCACUCUUCCACUUCCUGCACACGAUGACACAAGUAAUCGUAAGAAAUGAACGGGUCAAACACCGUCUCCUUUGAGGGAGAAACACAUUAGAACUGGAUGUGAUGAGCAUUCCAGCAUGAUUUCUACCUCAACCGGAGAAAGCAACAUCCUUGUUAAAUGAUCUAAUGAUGUCAUCACUGAAGAUGGGCUCUCUUUAGAGGUCCAUUACUGCUGAGGCCCGUGACUAAGACGUCAGACCUGACCUUUAUGUUCUGCACUCAGUUAGUGAGCUAAAUGAUUUCACAUUCCCCGUCUGAAACAGAUUGGGGACGGUGUGAAAAAUGUUUGACCAAGGUGGUGUGACUCAGCUAGUGAGCUAAAUGAUUUCACAUUCCCCGUCUGAAACAGAUUGGGGACGGUGUGAAAAAUGUUUGACCAAGGUGGUGUGACUCAGCUAGUGAGCUAAAUGAUUUCACAUUCCCCGUCUGAAACAGAUUGGGGACGGUGUGUUACUACGUGUGUACACCCCUACCUCCUCUCUCUUCACAGAAGUGAAAAAUGUUUGACCAAGGUGGUGUGGCCAUUAGUGUGUCCAUCAACAUCAAUCCAUCGACUUAGUCGAGGCAAGCAGACCCCUGUAGGUCUUCAUUUAAGAAUUAGAGCUUUUGAGCUAGCUGAUCUAGACUAGUCUAACCAUCCAUGUUUGUCUGAUGGGCUUGCUAUUGAGCUACUUGUUGAUACUAACUACAGGAUAGUAAUGAACUUGGAUCCAUUCGUAAAUUCAAGCCAGCACUUUAAAAAUGGAUGGGGGCUCUGCAGUUCAAGGAUUCCAUUUCUCCAUUAAUUAACAAACACUUCACGUCAUUAUUCUAGCCUCUGAGAUGGGAUUUUGGCUAUUAAAAACAUCAUUCCUGACGGUGUGGGCAGGGGCGGAGAUCCCAUUUCUUUGUAGGGGGGGACAAUACAUGGUAACAUUUCAGAGAGUAAAUCUUGGGGGGGACAUGAAAAAAUUGCUGUCUGGCCCUAUCUCCCUCUGUCUCUCUAUGCUGUCUUCGUACUGCGUUUGCUACCUUGCAGGACUGACAGCUAGCUAACACUUGUCUUUGCAGAAUAAAGAUGAAUUUCAAGUGAAUCCACAAGUCUUGUUUUUUUUGAGUUUACUGAAGUUAUCAGCAUGCAAUUAUUCAUACAGGACGUUUGAUUUAGUAAAACUGUCUGGAACAGACAGAAAUAAAGAGAUACAUACAUUUCACGUCAAAUGAUGUGGCAUAAAGGUAGCACGAUACCACAAGAGCUAGCAUAACUUGGCUGCUAAAUACUGAAUUCUCUUAUAACAUUUACAAACACAAAUUCUCUAAACGGCAUUAAUGUCCCAACACAAAAUAUCUACUCACAGACAAAUAAUGUCCAAAGUUCACACGGUCAGCGUGGGUUUUGCUGGAACUUUACAGGAGCAACUUUCAACAUGUAUCCUUACUUCACCGGUGCAGAGGUGGAGGUACUGUUGCAGAAUGUAGAUGUGUCCAUUCUAUUCCACCAUGGCUAUAUCCACGCGAUUGAGUUUAGUGCUUACCGUAAAUCCUCAAAUAAAGACCGGGAUUCAAUUAGAGGCCGGGCUUCAGAUAGAAGCCGGGGGCGUGGUCGAUACGGACAAAUAAAGACAGGGCCCCGAAUACAAGCCGGGGGUAAAAAAAGGUACCGGUAGCCUAUUUUACUGUAGCCUACCAGCAUCAGUCCAUCAGCACAAAGCAGAUAUCACAAUUUAAUUGAAUGCAUUUCAUAAAUACAUGUUCUCCUCAUGUUUAAUGUUGUUGGAUAAUUUCAUGGCUGUUUGCAAUAAAAAAAGAAAUGUUUCAGCCUACAAGGCGAAUUUGUUUUUAUACAGUUACUUGCCUAAACGAUAGAAGACAUUCCUCCAUGAUUUUGUUGCCGUUUCGUGAUUUCCGCUAAGAAAAAAAAUGUCUUCAGGCUAAUAGAACUUUAACGUUCCAGGUGUUGCGUAGCAACCCAUUACUUGCUGACUUCAAGUUACAAUGACUUUCCGCUACGUUAAAUGACCGGACUUCUUGUGGAAUGAUAUGAAAGAUGUGAAUUAGAAGCACAAAACCUGUUGCCAAUGAUAGCGGUCAUUAACUUUUCGCAGUGGUGAAUAUCAAGAAAUUACAGACCUGCUAAUGUUGGGGAACAUUCUGAAGAGCCGUAUAAUAAGUAAGAAAUAAAGGCCUGCCCCUAAUACAAGCCUGCCCUAAAUACAGGCCAGUGCGCUGUGCAGCCUAAGUAAAUAAAAGCCCCGGCCACAAUUUGAGGAUUUACGGUAUUUAUUUUUUCAAUGCCAUUUGCAGUGUUCGUGUAGUGCUUUUAUUUUUGUUAAGACAUCACGAUGCCUCCUAGAAACAUGACUAUAAAUGUGAAACGUAAUUGUUUAUGAUACAAAUAUUCUCUUAUUUAUUAUUAUUAUAAUCAUUUAAAUCUGAGGAUGUCUGUAGAACUUGAUGUGAACGCAAUCACCAAUGAUUUCUCACAAAUUCAGCCGUUAACAACAUGGGCGCACUCCAAACUGGCCGAUUUACGACUGUUAUUUAGCGUUCUUAAAUUCUGUUCAAAGCAAACAAAUCACAGAUGAGAAAACUUUCAUGAAUGCCAGAAUUGUCCCGGGAACGUUCGGUAUGUUCCCUUCCUUUGGUCUUUUUUCUGCUGGGGGCAUAUUGUAGACUAUAUUCAGUAGGGCCUAAGCCUAGCUCAGAAGUUGGUGCAGAAAGUGGAAGAGACUAGGGGAAACCAAGUUCCAUCAGACAGAAAAAAAGAACAUAACAAUGAAUACGAAUUAGAAACUAUUACAUUUAAAAAAAAGUUUGUUGAGUAACAUAAUGUACAUGUUCUGUGUCAAAAUCAGCCUUAGGCCUUUAUUUGUUAUGUAUAUCUUCCUCGUCCUCAUCCUUAAAUUCUUUCUUCAAGGAUACCCAAAAGUGCUCUUCCUCGGGCAGCAUGCCACACACUAUGGGACACCUGCAAGUGGCAAAGAGCAGGUUUAUGUUGGAUGUCUUGAGUAGGCCUAACAUGUUGACACAUCAUUCAAUAAACAAAUCUGAAUACAGUGUGUGAAGAUGGCUCGAGUCGACCACCCCACAAUGUGGGAUGUAGGCUGGUUGGAAUGGGGUUGCAGGUGGCUUUCUUAAAAAAUAGCUAUUUAUUUACAACAGGAUAAUUCGAAACCCCAAAACAUAUACAAACUGAACAACACUAAAGGCCAAAAACAAACAAGGUGCAACUCUGUGGUCACAGAUCACACAGGUUUAAUCUAUGUACUUGUCCCAGCUUUCUUCCAGCAUGUUCAGUCUGUCUUCCCCUCAUGCAACAAUGAGGUGCACCUUAAAUAAGGCCGCCCGAGGGCUAAAUUGGUCCAAUUGGAGUCAAUUGGACUCCACAGAGGACACUACAGAGGAGGGGGAACCCGGACCCAACCAUUCAGGUAGGGGAGUCCAGUCCUUCUCCCCCUUAGGGCCACAGUGAGAAGGGGGAGGGAUUUCACCUUCUCACACAUCGGGCCUCAUUUAUAAAAUGUUGCGUAGAAACCAUCCUACAUUUGAUCUCAGACGUUUUCUGAAAUGGUCGUAAGUGUUAUUCACAGAAAACGAACGUACGCCCAAAAAACACGUGUACGCCAUUCCUGCAUUUAUAAAUCACAAAUGAUCGUGGAAUUGUGCGCAGCUGAAUCUCCGCUCUCAAAACGCCCCUACUUAAUCUAAUUAGGAUAUUAUCAAUGCACAAACGGAGCGCAUCCUCAAUGCACAAACUCUCUGUGACAAUGGCAAGCAAGAAAGAAACAUGUAAAAAGAAGAAUUAUAGUGAGGUUUAAAUCGACGUUCUGCUGAUGGAAGAGCAGAUGCGGGCCAAAACAUUGUUCGAAAGCCUGUCAGGUGGCGUAGGCUAAUGGCAAAAGCAAAGUAUGUGGCAUGGUAGAAGACACGUCUCCGAAGCACCAGCGGCCGCACCUGCGGAACGAGCAGCACCAGAAGCCGCAUCUGCGGCAGCAGCACCUGCUGCACCAGCAUCGGGGCCUCGUUGGCCAUCACCAGCUUCCUCUUCUCAUUCACAAAGGGACUUGAAUGAGUCUGUUAGCGAGGUUGUUGCUGAACUCUGUCCGCUAUUGAGGGUUCUUUGAACAAACGUGCCUAAAUAAAACAUUCUUAAGAAAAUGAACAUGUGUGCAUUUAUUCUUAUACUGUUGGUAUAGUUAGUGAAUCAGCUCCCGUCUUCUCAGCGCAGUGAUGUGCGUGUUCCAGUCAGCUGGGAUGGGAGGGUGGUCAUCUUGGUCCAUGCGCAUUUCGUCUUCUCCUCUAUGCCAUGGCUUAGACAGAUGUUGUGUAGCACACAACAGGCUAGGAUGAUCUGGCAAACCUUUUCGGGGGCAUAUAGCAGUCUCCCUCCCGAUGCAUCCAAACAUCGCCACCUUCCCUUCAGCAUGCCUAUGCUGCGCUCCACUACAGACCGCACACGGGCAUGUGCUGUAUUGAAGUGGGCUUCCUAGGCUGUCUGAGUGUGCGCAAUCGGGGUGAGAAGCCAUUGGGAACCCUGUUUUACGCAGAAAAUCCUCUUUCACAUUUCGCUGUUCCUGGGCACUGUAUGGACAUGUAAUACAUUUCGGACACAGAGGGGUAAUAUCCUCUAACAACGCCAAAGCAGCCAUAUCUCCUACUGAAAACUGUCACUAUCAGGCUUUUUAUAGGCUAUAAAUUGAGCGAAAUGUUUUACACGUGUGGAAUUAAAAUGAAUACCUAUUAGACGUGAAUUUCAUUCAUGUAUGAAUUAUUCAAAUUGUUUAAUUGAUUUUAUUGAGCGAAACAUUCAUUUGGCCUUUUACCAUUAGCCCUAUGGUGACGGUGGUGGUGACGAUGAUGAUGAUGAAACUGCGUGUCGGCGCUCGGAGAGUUCCGAAUUCCUGCAGUACUCCAGUAUUGCCACAAGGAAAUGUACUUACACGAACUAGAACCAGACGUAGAGAUACGUCCUUUUCUACGUCUAAGACGGUUUUUAUAAAUCUGUACUUAGACGUGGAUUUGAUCGCACGAACACUCUCAGAUCAAAUCUGUGCGUAAGUACGUUUUAUAAAUGAGGCCCAGUGUAACGUUAAAAAUUGUUUUAAUCAUGAGCAUUAUUUGUGGUGUGUGUAUGUGUGCACAUAUGCAUACUCAGAGAAUGUUUAUUCUGACGUUAGUUAUACAGAUAGUUAAAGUUUAUCUGCUUUUAAGUCAGUUAGCAUGUAGAUUCUAUGCAGUUGAAAAGACAACUUUAACAUCACCAGAUAUCACCAGAUUAGGUGAUGUUUUGGCACUGUUUACAUGGACAGCGUCCGUUAAGUGCUACUUAAGAGCAGGGCAUGCACUUUCGUGUUACGUGCUUGUUUGGGAAAUGCGUGUAAAAACGUAACAAAUGUUUGUAGAAUCGCCUGUAAAGAACACUUGUAACCACUAAGAAUUAUCAUUAUUGGGAAACCUGGCCCUAGCAGGUUAGAAUGCUAACUUUAGCAGCUAUCUGGGCAAAACAAUUCAUAGGCAUUUUUGACAUGACAAAACGGUUAUUCUUUCACAUUAUGUUGCCAUUUGUAGUAAUUUUUGUAAUGUUUUAAACUAAACUUAACUUAAAAUUAUUACGUAUAGCACCUUUGAAAUGCAGACCUUGAUAAGCAACAGAAACGUUGUAUUGUUAUAAUCGUAGUAACAUCUUCUAUUUGAAUUUCAAUUGGCACCAUACUUGGCACAGGUAUCACCACAAGAUCACAGGGAAACUCAGGCUUCUAAUUCCCUAAAAAAAAAGAGUGCAAUCAGAAACUUUGCAUGACUACCUGUGUUUUUGUUUUGGUCCUCAAACAAGAAUAGAUAAAUAACACACACAGAAAAAUAGCUGGUAUUACACACAACAGAGACACAAGAAAACAACAUGUAUGUUAUUCUCAGCAAAACAUCCUUCCCAUUAAAUGCAUGGAGGUCUUAUUACCAGGUGUCCUCUCAUAGACUGACAGGGCAAUUGUAACCCCUGACUGUAGUCACCUUCCCUGCCACUCAUUAGCGGAGUGAGAAUAUCCAAUCUCUGCAAGUCAAAUCAAGUCAACAGGAAUUGGACCAAAGUGAUUUAUAGCCAAAGCAAAUAGAUUGAUAACAAAUGUAGCCAAGAAUUUAAAGAAAUAACAGGAAAUAACUGUACAAAUAAAAAAACAAAAUAAGAAAAAAAACUAUUGUAACAAAAGAACGGAAUUUGAAAAGUGAUGAGUAAAAGAGGUAAAAAACAAUAAAACAGAAGAAAAAACACGUUAGAAUUAGAUAAAAUGGAGAAUAGACUAGAUAGAUUAGAAUAGAUAAGUUAACUUAAAAUCCGGGAAUGUGUGUAAAAGCAGGUUUUUAGUCCAGCUUUAACAAUCUUGAUACAGACAGCAGAUCUAAUAUCUAAUGGGAGACUAUUCCAUAAUGUAGGACCAACACCAGUGAUCAUCAUGAUCACCCAUAGAUUUAAAAUUAGACCCAGUUAAAAGCAGUGAAGUCCCUACAGUCCUUGCAGUCCCUGUGGAUGCCAUAAUGGCCAAAUGUCACAUCUGCAAACAACGGUAAAAAGGUCAGUGUGGGGGUUAAACGUAUGCAUUAGAUGGACAGCUUAAUGGGCAGUAAAUGGCGAAGGUAUGGCUGGGAUCACCGGGGUGAAUUAUGGACCAUUCUCAAGGGUCGCAGAGGUGAGCUUCUGGUUGUCUGGGGCAUUCUCAUUUCCAACAGAAUGGCUACAGGGAACCGCCAUUACUUCACUCUCACUCUGACAUUUAGCAAUCACUGAUCUAUCUAUCUAUCUAUCUAUCUAUCUAUCUAUCUAUCUAUAUAUAUAUCUGUCUGUCUGUCUGUCUGUCUGUCUAUUUAUGUAUCUAUCUGUCUGCCUGUCUAUCUAUCUAUGUAUCUGUCUAUCUAUCUGUCUGUCUGUCUUUCUGUCUUUCUGUCUUUCUGUCUGUCUGUCUGUCUGUCUGUCUGUCUGUCUGUCUGUCUAUCUAUCUAUCUAUCUAUCUGUUUAUUUAUUUGUUUGUUUGUUUGUUUGUUUGACCUUGAUAGAUCAAUGAAGAGUCAAUCGGCAAUUUACAGACCUACCUGGCAUUUCAAGUAUGACUGCUGUGGCAGACGUGGCAGAGUGGAACUGUCUCAUCAUUAUGGGGCCCCUUACAGAUGCAGCUUCAGCCAGAGAUGUGCAUCUUUCAUCUACACUAAAAUAUGUUCCCCGCAGGCAAGGAAGGAUAAUACCAUUAGCUGUGAUGCAGUGUCUCUGAUACACACAUUAGUCAGAGUGUUAAAUAUUCACAAGUUCAUAGCAUCUCUGAGUCUUGCUUGAGUGGUGCAAUAUAAAUGUGAUAGAGACACAUACACAUUCACACAGUUGUUGUGCUGGUACAGGAAUUCUGACAUUGCCCUGUUGUCUUGUUUGUUACCAGGACAUUUUAAUUCGAUUUUAUCUCUUAUCUAACAGUAGAGAACUUGAAAUGUGAGGAAAGGACGUUGAAACAGUUAAGUGAUGUGAAAGACCUUGGAGCUAAUCCCAGCUGCAAGGCAGAUAGAAAAAUUCAGCAAAGAAACCUCUGGGUAACGUGACAGUGUCACAAAGAAACCUCUGGGUAACGUGACAUUGUCACAAAGAAACCUCUGGGGAACGUGACAGUGUCACAAAGAAACCUCUGGGUAACGUGACAGUGUCACAAAGAAAUGUCUGGGUAACGUGACAGUGUCACAAGGAAACCUCUGGGUAACGUGACAGUGUCACAAAGAAACCUCUGGGUAACGUGACAGUAUCACAAAGAAACCUCUGUGUAACAUUAAAUUAUUGCAAAGAAACCUCUGUGUAACGUUGCAUUAUUGCAAAGAAACCUCUGUGUAAUAUUGCAAAGAAACCUCUGUUUAACGUUACAUUAUUGCAAAGAAACCUCUGUGUAAUAUUGCAAAGAAACCUCUGUUUAACGUUACAUUAUUGCAAUGUCUCCAGGAGGCAAAACACAGCCAACAUGACAGAGAACAAAUAAAACAACUAAAAAUAGAUAUAUUUCAAUUUAAAAAAUAGCAAAUUAAAACACCUUAAUAAUAAGAGUUGAUUUAUAUAAACCUGUGGCAUAGCACUACAAAUAAGUGUGUAUACUGGGACACUUUGGAAGCUGUUAUCCCUUACAAGAAAGAACAAAAUUGUCAGCAAUUAUUUAAAGUAUGCAAAUAAGUAGGGCCUCCGUGCACCUCGAAGACCUCAAUAUUAACAUUUCAACUUCAGUUUGUCUGUGACACCCCAAAGGAUCGUCCGUGAUGAUUUUACUCUGCACAAAAAACCCUGCCCUCCGAUACACAUAAUCAUGACAGAUGCUCCGCUAUUUAAAUCCCUAAUCGAAUUAACUUCCAGAUUUUUACAUUAUUCAAGGCAACGUGGGCAUGCGUCCCACCCUCUGGAAACAUAAUGGUGAUAGGCUCAUGAUUUAUGGAGAGAAGAUGUCAAGUGGUAUCAAGAGUAAUGCCUUCAUAAGAUGGCCGUUUUGAUCCACUGCCAUACCACCUCCCACGCAACGAGCUGCAAACAACUGGAGGGAGGAAUCUAGGUGCCUGAGUGUACCCAUACACAGGAGAGUACAUACUGUUUGAGCACACAUGCACACACCACUAUGAAUAGUGCAGAAAUAGUCAUCUUGAAGUAUUUUCAAAGGGAGUAUAUCAAGCAGAUUUGGACAUGGUCUGAGGGAUAAUUAGGAAGUUGGCUACUGCAUAGUACAUACCAACAGACUGAAGAGAAAAUAAGGGUGUUUGUUUUCAAAUGAAAGACUCUGAGAUAUGCGUUAGUUGUGCAUGGUUUAAUGCUAGUGUAGUGAAAUGCUCAGCUUUUAGCACACGUUUAUUCUGAAAUUACUUUUUGCUAUGUGUUCAAGCGGUCAACUGGUCUUCUAAGAUAAGGGAAUGUGUGUCCACUGAAGCAUGACAGGGCCUAAUAGCAUAAUAGAAUGAAUAUCUGCCCUUAAAGACCAGACUGGGAUCACUGUAUGACAGAGGACUGUAAGAGGUGUCAUGUCUGGGAAGCCUUAAUUGCUUUAGGUAAUCCUAUGAAACACUUGAGUUGCAAUUUCAAAGAGUUAGAAAGCUUAUGUCUUCUCUCUGAUGGAUUAGUUAUUAUAUCACUAUAAUGUCCUGUAAACAUCCCUUUGAAUUAAUUGAAAUGAAUCAAGAGGACACAGUCCUGAAGUGAAGGCUAUCAAGUCAACUAUCUAUUAGAGUUUAGGCACUGCAAGACUAUUUGGAAGAGAUGAAAGUGGGUGUUACAAGAUGUCAUUUUACAUCUGAGCUUCAGCAUGAGACACUGGCAUUAGGAAGAGAGUGCUGAUUGCCUCCUCCUACAAUUCAAGAGAAGCAGACAAUCAGCAUUGCAGACAAAAUACUAUCAAGGGAUCCAUCCAACACUAAAUCACUAAAGAAAAAGACCUGCACACUCAACGGUAGGAACGUGGAUUUGAUGAAACUCAGUUAGAUUAAACUAUGUUUAAAUGAUUGAUUUUUUUCUCUCACCACCCUGUUUGUCUCCUCUCUGCUGCUCCGUCCCGUAGUUAAGAUUCACCAAAUGUGCGAAGCGAGUUAGGGUGUCUGAAGUCAUUAUGCCCUCUGCUCCACUCUUUACACUGGCAGAUUAGAAUUGAGGCCCAUUAAAGUAAUCUAUAAAUGGCAGCACGGAAAAUCUUCCCAUGACUGUUGAAAGAGAUUUAUAACUCCCAUGUUGUCUGACUGAGGACUGGUCUCCGAAGACAGUGAAGACACAAGGGACAUGCAUCUACAUGGUGUUGCAUAUUAAAGGCUGGCUGAAUCAGAGCAGGAUGGGAUGAGUUUUUUUUUUUUUACUUUAUUCGUCCGUCCUUGGGUCAUAAAAGGACUUAUCAGCUUGACAGGGAAGGGCAUAGAGAGCCACGCACGAAAGCCAUGCAUUGCAAAUUUGUCACUGACGAAAAUAGUAAUGCUGCUUACGUAAUUAGUUACCAGGAGAGUCAUAUUCCAUAGUGCUGACAGACAUUAAACACCAGGCCUGUCCCAUGUUUUAAGCCCUUUUCAAGAUAAAAAAAAAAAUAGACUGCCAAAGCAAUGCAGCAUAUAAUGAAAUGGGAAAAAUGUGAAAGUAAAUACAGUAAAAUAUAUCCAGUUAUCCAGAUAAACCAUAUUCAGCAUUGGGUGGUCCUUAUGACUUCUGACAGGAUGCUAAAAGCUUAAAGGUUUGUUAUCGAGUCACAAAUAAAGUCAGCCAAACCAACCAGACUGACAGCCAAAAGAAACAUUCCGUUCUGCCGUACUUUGCUUUGCUUGACCUGGCAGAAGGGAGCAGCAAAGUAAAUCUCUGAGGUGUAGAGAGACCUUGUUCUCUCUCGGACUGCUCUGGGAUCAGACCGCCUCUUCAUGUCUUUUCAGGGUUACUGAGGGUAAACAAUUUGAGCUUGAGCCAGGAUCUAAAUAACCAAACACACAACAGCAACAACAAAUAGCACAGGCUGUGGCAGAACUAGCUUUUGUUUCUAAUACUGUCACACUGAAACUACCGCUCUGUAUUGCACACACAUUGACAGGAUAUGUUUGACAGGAUUAUUGACUGCUGCUAAAAGUCAAAACAAGCCAAAGAACACAAUUGAAUAACACAAACAACAUUGUCAUAAAUAUGUCAUUAUAUCAUAAAAAUGAAUCCACACUGUAACAUCCAGCUACCCUUAGCGAUUAUAUGGAGGCUGAACCAACCCCUUACAGUCCUAUUAAACAUCCCAAUAAAUCAUUACAACUGGCUGUCACUGUACAGGGGAGCCUCUAAUUAAAUAUAGGUCGCAGAGGCUUAAGCACAGCUUCAGCCGCUCCAACAACGGAGACAGAGAUCCAGCCAACAGAUAAGGGAUAAUUGAAGUCGCAGAGGGCUGUCUGUUAGUUGUGAGUGUCAAUGCUGCAGAGGUAAUGAGCUCUACGCAGUUGGAAAUUAUAAAGUUUUGAAGCAGGCUACAACAUUUCUUUUUAAGCAUGAUGAGGGCAUUUAUUUGUUGUGAUCCUCUUGAAGGGACCAGCAUAGGUCAUAAGAAUAUGCCAUAGUCAAUAAGUCAAUGAUAUUAUACCUAGUUCUAAUUGUUACUUUUAUUUGGACUUAACUAGCAUGUAAACAGUUCCAGGGUGAAUAUACUUGAUUUUGACCAGGGGAGUGAGGUGCGACAUUGGUCUCACCUCCCCCCCAGGUCGAGACAAAGAACCCUGCAUGCAUGGCCCAUUUGAAUAGACGGUAACACCCCUUAAUGUCAGUGUAUUUAACAGACUGUUCCCCAAGGAAUAAGUCAGAUAUACUGAGGUGAAGUUCUGUGAGGGAGGAUGGAUCUGAAAGUUUCUGUCUCACAAAUGGUCGGCCGCCAUUCUUCAAGAAUAAACCUGAAUCCUGACUGAUCAAACCUAAGACUGAAUCUUCAAUAUAUGGUAUAAAACUAAUUACCAUCACUCUCUACACUGUGCAUGUGUGUAUUUUGGACCAGUUGUCGCACUCCAUACCUUGAUUGAUGUUUCUGUGCCUACUGUACUGUUUUUGUACACUGUGUACUGUCUUGUGCUGUACAUGUUGGCACACGUGUAGUUUAUGUAGUCCAGUCUGGUCUGUGUUUGCGCACGUGUGCUUUAUGUAGACCUGUCUGAUCUGUGUUGUUCUAUGUGGCACUGUGGUCCUGGAGGAACGGUGUUUCAUUUCACUGUAUAGUGCAUUAGCUGCAUAUAUGGUUGAAAUGACAAUAAAGCCAGUCUAUGGUCCAUGCACAGUCUACAGGCCACAUUUUCCAAAAUGCAUUUUUUUUUUUCAAUUCUAUGUUUUCACAUCUGAAAGGGUAAACUACAGUGUCACACACAGAAUCGUUGUGUUUUAGUCACCGGAUGCCAAACUGUAAGUGAUAUUUUUUUCAGUUAAUGAAGACCUGCUGAGUGUGGAACAUCCUGCCUUUGUUUUCUGGAGUCAAAGACGCUAGAUGCAUGUGAGGUAGGUAGGUGGGCUUCCCUUCUCGGUCUCACACCCACACUUGACUAGACUUGACCCUUUAAACAGACCCAGGGGUCAGACCUUCUGACUGUUCACCUCACAUGGCAAAUGGCGGCUUAAUGCUGGCCUUGCCAAGCAUGUCAUCCCACACAGUCAAACACACAAAGAAGGGCAUGCCUUCCUAUCUGGCACACAUGAGUGUGGAAGCAAUCUAUGUGGAAUCUAUCCAGCAUCUGUCUCUCUGACUCCGGACACUUGCAUCUAUUUUUAGAGUGUUGCGGCAUAGUUUUUUUGCAACAUACUGAUUAAAUAUAACAGUCCAUCUGGGAUUCUGUGUGACAUUUUCAAGGGCGUCCAGAGAAAGUAUGUGUGGGCCAUUGUUGGAUUUAAAUUAUCAGGAGAUUUAUGAGGGACGAGCUGCUGAAUGAAGAGCAAGAAACUUUCUUUUCCUCUCUUGCAAGUCCAAAUUAGGCUCAUGUUAAAUGUGACUACAUAAACAUAACUGUGUAUGUAGCCUUGUGAUUGUUAUGGAGAUAUGCUGCCAUUUAAAAAGGAAUGGUAAGUCACCACUAAACACACUAGGUGAGUGUAUAGAAAUGAUAACAGUCACACUCAUUUUAAAUCACACUUUAUAGAUGAUGCAAUAUGUGGCAUCUAAGUGCUAAUGUGCCAAAAUGGAUACGCUUUAAAAGCGCCAUCCAAAAUGCUAAAAAAAAAGCCCAAUUCAUUCUGUGUUAUCAGAAAACUAUGACACAUACCAAAAAUAUUAUCCAGAAGUAUUUAGUGUAAAUGCGAUAGACCAGUAUAGGUCCUUCCCCCUGCAGUGACUGGCCUUGUACACAAUGCUUUCCUAUCUUAUUAAGAGCAUUCAGACAUCACUCGAUAUCUGUGUUAAUAUGCUGGGGCUGUAGCCAUAUUGUGUCCAUGACAGUAUUUCUUAUUCUGGAGAAUACCAAAGAGUACAUUUUCUAAACUACUGAACUUUCGAGAGAAAGUGAGCAAGAGAUGAUCUAGAAGAGUGGGGGAGAGAGCGAGCAAGUGAGGAAGAAGAGAGAGAGGAUGGAAAUGGCCUUCAUUAGAGUUGAAUCAUAAUAUUAUACUCUCUCUUCUUCCUAGGUUAUCUAGAGUCCAAUAGACAUUUCAAAUGAGUGAAAUGAUGAUGAAUAAAAGAGAGAGAAAGGCUCUCCAAACCAAGGCACUCCUAUUAGAUUGAAAUGUCUUUAUAAUUUUGACAUCCUAACUAGACCGCUAAAUUGCCCACGCAUAGCGCAAAAAAUGCCCAUGUGCUUUUAGAAAGAUCAUCUCAGUGCUCAGGUUGAGAUAAUGGACAAAAGGUGGAUUUGAAUGUGGAAUAGCUCCUAUUAAUGGGAUAGUUCAUUAUUUCUUAACGGGUUCAUUACCUGCCGUGUUUUCUGGGACAUGUCACUGCAAAGCUAGGAUUAAAAAGAUAAUUAAAAAUAUUUCAUUAAAUUCAAUUAAAGUACAAAAGCAUACAGGAGCUCCACUAUGUCUUCACAAGGCUAACUCAAUUUCAUCUCGAGAACAAAGGCAUCAUGUCUCUGUAACCUAUGGCAACAGGAUGCUGGAAUUGUUUACAGGUUCUUCUGCUUUCUCGACCACUAUGCUCUAUGCACACCAGUGCACCUCACUUAUAUUAAUAUUAUUAUUCAGGAACUCAGGAAAAGUAAGUGAACUGUACUGAUAAUUUGUUGUAGGCAUAUUCUCAAUUGUAAUCUGUGUAAUCUAAUAAAAUGUUGUUUGCGACACGAUACAGGCAUAUAUUGUGCAUAAUACACAUUGGGCUGUGUAAUUUACAUUUACAAACAAGCAGAGAGUUUUCAAGGUUGCCAACUUCACAGGCUUAUUUGGUGUGAGACGUAUUUAUUUGGAUGCUAGCCUGACAGGACUGAUGACUUUGGGCAUCUAGAAAAUUACAAAUCUCUGUGAGACAGGAAUGACACCGAUAAGGUUACAGCCUACAUUGCAUUCUCAGGGACGUUUAUGAUGAAAAAUAUCAUGCAGGCACAACUCAAGACAUAGCAAGACAGCUAAUUAGUUGUCACUGACUAGUCUAACAGAAAGGCCAGGCCAGCAUCUGACUUGGAUCCUUUUGUCUCUUUUAGCUCUCGCCAACAAGUAAAAGCCUGUCUAAGACUAACUCUCCUUCUCUUGCUCAGUUACUCUCUCUUUUCUCUUCACUGAUCUCACUGACAAUGUCUUCCUCGGUUUCUUCAUCGCCUCUGCCAUGAUGUCCAUACAGAGAAUACUGUGCUAGCUUCUUCUUAUAGCUAGCAGAAGGGGCCAGUUGUUGUGUGAGAUUGUGCCAUAAAGCAUUAUGUAGUUCUUGCAAGAAGUGUUGCACCCUGUCCACCAAAGUUACAUAGUGCAAUACCAGGCACACCAGGCAUGGGGUAGCACAGACGCCAUUCUCUAUAUUACAAGUCAAACCAAAAUGAGCUUGAAACUGUUAUUUUAGGGUAAAAUUGUUACAUAAUGUUGCUUUAAUUCAGAAUUAUGUCAUGUUUUCUUGUACAACCAGCCUUGAGAUCCUCUUACUGCUCCACAGGGUGUCUCGAACAUCACUUCCACCUUGCAUUUUUCUCCCCAUAAUGCCCUAAUCACACUAACAUCCUUUUCCUUCUCUUUCCGCAAGUACCUGAGUUAACGAACAGAAAUAUGAUUUUGUGGUUUGCAUAAAUCAAUUUCACGCUGAGCACUGUCUCGACAAAUAAAGGGGUUGUGCAGCAUUCCUGGUGGUGGAGCCCUACAGUAUUAAUGAGAACUUUUAUUCCUACAGUCUUUCAUUAAAUCUUGGAGACAGAUAUGUCGGUGUAUGGUGUUUGGUAGGCUAAUGCACUGUGCAAUUAAUACCUUAUCAGGCUUUCACCCAGCCAUGUAAUUUCCUUGGCAAUGACAAUAUUUUGGGGCUUAGGCAAAGUAUGAGGAUAAGAUCUAACACACAAUACAUGGACAACGCAUUUAAUUAAAUCCCCUCGUUGCCAUGGUUUUUAUCCUCCUGCUGAUAGAUGUCAUAUGUCUAUAUAUGUCUGACAUGUAUCGUAACGGUGUUAAUUAUCGGACGGCGUGUGUUAUCGGCAAACGAGUUGUCAUGUUAACCCAUUAUUAAACUGAGCAUAUCGAUUGUUAAUCCAUUAUUACAUUUAGCAUUUUGAUUGUUUAACAGAAUGGCCGAUGUUUGACACUGUCCGAUGACUGACAUAGCUACGCUAAGAUACUAUUAAAACAUUCAAUUUAGGGAGGGCAAAAUAUAGAUAUUACAACCCACCAUGUCAUGAGUAACAUUCAUGGAUAUAAACUUGAAAUGCUAGAUAAACCAUUAUGCAGCGUUUUCUCAUAUGACAAAUGAUUCACAGUGUAGGCCUACCACCUCCAAGUGAGAAAUGGAUGGAUAAACUUAGAUGCCUCAUUAUUGACUUCUUGUGCAAAAACAAUUACAGCUGGACUUAGUUUUCUUAGAAAUAUAUUCCUACUGACACAAGAUUUGCCAUGAGAUGAAUUGUUAGACUAUUUGAUCUUAAAACACACACACACAGAAACACACACACACACACACACACACACAGAAAAACACACACAGAAACAUCUACACAGACACACACACACACACACACACACAGAAACUUAUACACAGACACAUAGAAAAAUCGAGGAUAGAAAAAUCAAGGCAGAAGGCCGACCAUAACAGCUUUACAAAGUGAAAUGUUUUUGAUUAUUACUACAAGCACACACACACACACACACACACACACACACACACACACACACACACACACACACACACACACACACACACACACACACACACACACACACACACACACACACACACACACACACACACACACAAAUUAAGAAGAAAAAUGUAGACAUGAAGACACUAAAAUGUGGAAAGUAGAAUGCUAACUUAAUGUGUUCACACACACACAUGUAUGCAUUCACUUCAGAUCACUCAAGUAUCAAUCAAGCACGCUGAAGGACACAGUACAGACUAGCCAUGCCCUGUGGAAAUACUGUUCAUAUACUGCUACACAGUUUAUGCAGAUUCAUUGGCUUUCGUAGUCCACCAGUAAACCAACCAACUGAAAGCUGUGAAUAUUUAAAUUAAUCAGUUACAAACAGUAAAAACAAAAGAGCAAAAUCCCAGGAUUGGCACCAAAACCUGAGUCUGAGUGGCAUUUUUUUUUUAUCUAUAAAUAUUGUGUAAAUGUAUUCCAGUUUGUUUUGUUUAAGUGUUUUUUUUUGCCUUCUUGAAGAGGAGAAAGCAGCAUGGAUGUGUUUGUAAUUAGUUCAGCUCUGUGUGAGAGUCUUACAGUGGAGAGGAGAUAAGAGGUCUCACUCACUCUCUCUCACUCCGUCUCUUUCUGUGUGUGUGUGUGUGUGUGUGUGUGUACGUCCACCGAAGCUCAUAGAUUAUACUGAGCUCACAAGUAAACAACUUUAAUGGGUCAACUGCACUGAAGCAUUAUUUGUUUGAAAGCCACUGAAGAUCUCAAUUUUCUCAAUUUGAAAAAUGAGAUGAGAGCCAAAAUUGAAAAAGAACAUCCUCCUCAUUUUUAAUGGGAGUUUGAUCAUUUGGGCUUCACUCAACACUUUCCAAAAGUUUGAGAAAGGAAGAGAGUAAGAGAUGGUAGUUGUUUAGUAGCACCUAUGUAUAGUGCAUACAGUGCCCCUGUUACAUUGUUAUUACUUUAUUAAAUACAGCAACAUACUAAUUAUAAGUGUGCAACAGUAUGAGGUAUAGUACAUCAGUUGUCUGUUAUUCAUUGUUACUCUAGGCCGCACACUGUACUUCAGUAUAUGUUACAAGAGAAAAGUAAUACCUGGUGUAAUGUGCGCUGAAGAUGUCAGGUACAGGUUAUAGCUGCCUGUCAUACCUCCACCAGAGCCGCCUGGCCAGGAGCAAGGUCAUCGUCUGAGAUCUUACCCUCAUCCAUGCUUCCUCCCUUUAAUCCUGGAGCAGGGGCUGCAGUGGUCAGAUACGUCCCCCUCCCCACCAUCAGCCCCUGCAGUUGGCCACUGGCAGGAUCCCUGCCUUUCUGUGGGUGUAAAUCCCCUCGGUUCAUGGAACAGAAAGGUUGUGUUGUCAGCAUUCCAACUACAGAUAGGGGUGACCGCAUGCAAACCCAUGAUAGAGUAACAGGAGGAAGUUGCUGGAAGUUGAACCACUGCCUGAGGAUAUCAUCCCCAGUCAGUGUAAAAAGUAACAAGCUGGAAUAUAACUCAGACCUCUUCUACGCACUCAGACAUGGAAAAUCAUCAGUGAUUUGUAAGUGAACUACUUACACUAACACGUGUGGAUGCUGACCUUACUGUGAUAUUCAGUUAUGCAAUACAGAGAUACAGUGUUACUAAGAAUAGGACCAGUAGCACAAGGCUGAGUCAUCCACAGCUACUCAGCCACGGAAUGGUAUCUCACAACAUGGAGCCCUUGCAAGCAAGAUUAUGUGGUAAGGGGGUGAGAUAACCCUCAGAAGAUUACAUCUAAAUUGCCUCAUAGUCACGCAGCAGCUGUCUGUAUAUACAGUGGAUCAUCGUAAUCUGAAAUACAGAUUAGGUGGCACAGUAACCCCCACUUUUAGUAGUUUGUUGUAAUCAUCCUGGUGAAUAUAAUGAAAAUGAUGUAAAGUGGAAGGCCACUUCAGCUAUGGAAACCCCGUGGAGAUCUUCUUAAUAUAUGCAAGCAUCAUGAAAUAUGCAUCUGCUUUCUUGUAUACGAUGACAAUUGUCUGUCUGUGUAUGUAGAACUUCCCUCCUGUGGUUGUCAAGGACACCAGAGGGGUGGCUGAGUGAUGGAGUGCCACUCAGAGCCGUGCAGGCCCUGAAAGCAACCUCAAACUGAUGAAGAUGGAGGAGGGAAACCGAUACCAAACAAUCAGCCAUCUUGGUUUUCUUAACAUUUACAUCUACAUUUACAUUUAGUCAUUUAGCAGACGCUUUUGUCCAAAGCGACGUACAAGUUAACCUACACAAGCUGUUUGGGUAGUGAAUGUGAAUACAGUCACAGGUGUUCACUUCUACAUAGCUGUGUUUUGACAGUUUUUUGUUUAUUCUGAUGUGCUUUUUCAAUGACAUUUGAAAACCUAGUUUUUGUUUUAGUGUCAGUACUUUUCAAUGUCAACUUACUGUCUCAGUUUUUGCAUGGAAGGGGUGGGGUUUGAUUGGAGAGGCAAGAAAUACAUGUUUUGCAA
ensembl:lncRNA